rnacentral:rRNA from 1 species
UUUACCUACGGGAGGCAGCAGUGAGGAAUAUUGGUCAAUGGACGGAAGUCUGAACCAGCCAUGCCGCGUGCAGGAAGACGGCUCUAUGAGUUGUAAACUGCUUUUGUACAAGGGUAAACCUGAAUACGUGUAUUCAGCUGAAAGUACUGUACGAAUAAGGAUCGGCUAACUCCGUGCCAGCAGCCGCGGUAAUACGGAGGAUCCAAGCGUUAUCCGGAUUUAUUGGGUUUAAAGGGUGCGUAGGCGGUUUUAUAAGUUAGAGGUGAAAUCUCGGGGCUCAACUCCGAAAUUGCCUCUAAUACUGU